rnacentral:rRNA from 1 species
UACGAAGGGGGGCUAGCGUUGCUCGGAAUCACUGGGCGUAAAGCGCACGUAGGCGGAUUGCUAAGUCAGGGGUGAAAUCCUGGAGCUCAACUCCAGAACUGCCUUUGAUACUGGGGAAGCUCGAGUCCGGAAGAGGUGAGUGGAACUCCGAGUGUAGAGGUGAAAUUCGUAGAUAUUCGGAAGAACACCAGUGGCGAAGGCGGCUCACUGGUCCGGUACUGACGCUGAGGUGCGAAAGCGUGGGGAGCAAACAGG